rnacentral:rRNA from 1 species
AGUGAACGCUGGCGGUAGGCCUAACACAUGCAAGUCGAACGGCAGCACAGUAAGAGCUUGCUCUUACGGGUGGCGAGUGGCGGACGGGUGAGGAAUGCAUCGGAAUCUACUUUUUCGUGGGGGUUAACGUAGGGAAACUUACGCUAAUACCGCAUACGACCUACGGGUGAAAGCAGGGGAUCUUCGGACCUUGCGCGAUUGAAUGAGCCGAUGUCGGAUUAGCUAGUUGGCGGGGUAAAGGCCCACCCAGGCGACGAUCCGUAGCUGGUCUGAGAGGAUGAUCAGCCACACUGGAACUGAGACACGGUCCAGGCUCCUACGGGAGGCAGCAGUGGGGAAUAGUAGACAAUGGGCGCAAGCCUGAUCCAGCCAUACCGCGUGGGUGAAGAAGGCCUUCGGGUUGUGAAGCCCUUUUGUUGGGAAAGAAAAGCAGCAGGUUAAUACCCCGCUGUUCUGACGGUACCCAAAGAAUAAGCACCGGCUAACUUCGUG